AACCUUCCGCAAUGUACGUAAGUCUGACGGAGCAACGCCUCGUGAGUUAUUAAGGUUUUCGGUUCGUAAAACUCUGGUCUUAGGGAAGAACAUGUACCGGAGCCACUGCCCGUAACUUGACGGUACCUGACGAGAAAGCCACGGCUAACUACCAUCCAUCAGCCGCGGUAAUACGUAGGUGGCAAGCGUUGUCCGGAUUUAUUGGGCGUAAAGCGCGCGCAGGCGGUCUAUUAAGUCUGAUGUGAAAUCUUACAGCUUAACUGUAAGCGGUCAUUGGAAACUGGGAGACUUGAGUGCAGAAGAGGAGAGUGGAAUUCCAUGUGUAGCGGUGAAAUGCGUAGAGAUAUGGAGGAACACCAGUGGCGAAGGCGACUCUCUGGUCUGUAACUGACGCUGAGGCGCGAAAGCGUGGGGAUCAAACA
rnacentral:rRNA from 1 species